rnacentral:rRNA from 1 species
AACGAACGCUGGCGGCAGGCUUAACACAUGCAAGUCGAACGCAUGCCUUCGGGCAUGAGUGGCAGACGGGUGAGUAACGCGUGGGAACCUACCCCUUGGUACGGGAUAGCUCCGGGAAACUGGAGAUAAUACCGUAUGUGUCCUGAGGGACAAAGAUUCAUCGCCAAGGGAUGGGCCCGCGUCGGAUUAGCUAGUUGGUGGGGUAACGGCCUACCAAGGCGACGAUCCGUAGCUGGUCUAAGAGGAUGAUCAGCCACAUUGGGACUGAGACACGGCCCAAACUCCUACGGGAGGCAGCAGUGGGGAAUAUUGGACAAAGGGCGCAAGCCUGAUCCAGCCAUACCGCGUGGGUGAAGAAGGCCUUCGGGUUGUAAAGCCCUUUUGUUGGGAAAGAAAAGCAGCAGGUUAAUACCCCGCUGUUCUGACGGUACCCAAAGAAUAAGCACCGGCUAACUUCGUG